AUGUAUUUUUAUAUAAUUUAUAAAAGUUGUAAUUUAAUAAUUCACAUCAAAUUAUAAUAAUUAUAUAAAAUUAUUUUUAUAUAAUCAAUUUGUUGUGAGGAUGGGGAAGACAGGCGAAAGCAAUUGCAUUGGACUCAGUACGAACCGGGAGCGACUCGCAGUUCUACGUGCUCUGCUCUCGCAGCGUGGCGACAGCAAUGUUCUUCGCGACUAACGAGGUGAAGUACAAAAGGGAAGUACUGAAAUAUUUUUCCGGAAAGUGAAGUUUUGGAAAGAGGAUGGGCAAGAGGAGCCAGGAGGCACCACCUGUCUUUGUAGGAUUUGGUUAUGUACAAACGACAUCCACCGAAAUGUUGAAGUCUUACGUUUUUAAUGAGCCAAUUGUGGUUGGUGCUGCACGUUUGCAAUCUCUUGGCCCUGCUUCCAUUUUUAUGCAAGGGACCCAAAGAUUGCCAGGAACUGCUGUGACAAAAUCUGUUGUAGCAACUGAGCCUGGGGGUCAAACAAGGGAGGAAAUCUUUGUUGAUAUAAUCGAGAAAAUCAGCAUCACCUUUAGCUCAAACAGGAAAAUUCAGAUGAAGAGCUAUCUCACUGGCAAUCCAGAAAUCCGCUUGGCUUUUAAUGACAACCUGGGCAUUGGAAGAGACAGGAGAUCAGUCUAUGAUUACGGGAGUUCAUCUGGGUCUGGAGCAGUGAUAUUAGAUGAUUGUAAUUUCCAUGAGUUGGUACGUCUAGAUAGUUUUGCAAUAGAGAAAACUUUGAGCUUGGUACCUCCAGAUGCAGAGUUCACUGUUAUGAGCUACCGCAUGACUCAGGAGUUCAAGCCUCCUUUUCGUAUUAACACUUUGAUCGAAAAAGCAGGAGCCCUUAAGGUUCCAACAGUACGUGCUGACUUUCCCUCAAGUAUCACUGCAAACACAAUAUUGGUUCUGAUGCCACUACCAAAAUGUACUACCAGAGCUAGUUUUGAGUUGGAACCUGAAGCAACAGGACAAACAGCGGAUUUCAAGGAAACACAUAAGAGAUUUGAGUGGGGUUUAAAGAAGAUUGUCGGUCGAUCUGAGCAUACUCUGCAUGCAAAGCUAACAUUUUCUAUGGAAUCUCAUUAGAAUCUGGCCCGUUGGCAUGACUUUUACAAUACUAAUGUAUAAUGCUUCAAGGCUUCAGGUGAAAUACUUGCAGAUAGCAAAGAAAUCUAGAACUAAUAAUCCAUAUAGGUGGGUGAGAUAUGUUACUCAGGCCAAUUCCUACGUUACUCGCAUCUGAUGUUGUUAAAGCUUCCCCCCCGCCCUCGCAUUGCAUUCUCCCCUUUUAUGGUGAUACUUUUUUCCUAACCUAUCAUUCUAGUUGAGCUACAUGUCCAAGUAUCAUUUACUGAACUAUAUUUAUCAACAUAAGGUAUCAUUUAAAUUGCUCUUGGGGAUCCUAUAAAAGGGGUUUUAGUCAUACUAUUUAACUCUUUUAAA